GAUGAACGCUGGCGGCGUGCCUAAUACAUGCAAGUCGAGCGAACAGACGAGGAUCUUGCUCCUCUGACGUUAGCGGCGGACGGGUGAGUAACACGUGGAUAACCUCCCUAUAAGACUGGUAUAACUUCGGGAAACCGGCGCUAAUACCGGAUAAUCUAUUGAACCGCAUGGUUCAAUAGUGAAAGACGGUUUUGCUGUCACUUAUAGAUGGAUCCGCGCCGCAUUAGCUAGUUGGUAAGGUAACGGCUUACCAAGGCAACGAUGCGUAGCCGACCUGAGAGGGUGAUCGGCCACACUGGAACUGAGACACGGUCCAGACUACUACGGGAGGCAGCAGUAGGGAAUCUGACGCAAUGGGCGAAAGCAUGACGGAGCAACGCCACGUGAGUGAUGAAGGUCUUCGGAUCGUAAAACUCGGUUAUUAGGGAAGAACAAAUGUGUAAGUAACUAUGCACGGAUUGACGGUACCUAAUCAGAAAGCCACGGCUAACUACGUG
rnacentral:rRNA from 1 species